ensembl:lncRNA
AUGAGCAUAACAAAAGACGUGGAAAGCCAUUUGAUACCCUCCAAACACCUUGGAGAGUCAAGACAUCUUUAUUUGCUUAGAAAGGAUAUGGGAAAAUACACCAACCCCUGUACUGAGAAUUUACCAUCUACCAGGUUGUACCUUCUUUAAAGACAAUGGACCUGUCCUACCAUUCCUACUGGGAUUGCUCAAAUGAUCAGUCCACUGUGCUGAUGAAUGUUCAGUAAAUGUAGCUGAAUACUGAAAGGGAAUAAAGGAAUUCAAAACUAUUGUGAAUUUUGAAAA